rnacentral:rRNA from 1 species
GACGGAGGGUGCUAGCGUUGUUCGGAAUUACUGGGCGUAAAGGGCGCGUAGGCGGCCCUGUCAGUCGGGUGUGAAAGCCCGGGGCUCAACCCCGGAAUGGCACCCGAGACGGCGGGGCUGGAGACCGGGAGAGGAGGGUGGAAUAGCCAGUGUAGAGGUGAAAUUCGUAGAUAUUGGCUGGAACACCGGUGGCGAAAGCGGCUCUCUGGCCCGGUUCUGACGCUGAGGCGCGAAAGCGUGGGUAGCAAACAGG